GUGAAAAUUAAGGAACGUGUGAAAUUACAUAUUUGCCCUGGGCCUUCUCCUCUCAACGCGUGAGUCGCCACCGCGAGCCUGCGACAGAAGAAAGAGGCGGAAACGCCGCCACCCCCAACGCCGGAAACGCCGGCCGCUACGCCAGCCGCCGGGGCUCACCUCCAAGAUGCCGCCGCCACCCGUACUCGCUGGAACCGUCGCCGCCACCCCUCUUUGCCGGAGCCGCCGGCGCUCUCUCCCGACGCCGCUACUCAUAAUUGGGCACCCCAGGCCUGAGACCCAGUAGAAUCUUUGGACAAAAUUUUACAACACUCAUAGUUCAGGCACGCUGCAGCUGCUGCAUCUGCCAAAUUGUGCUUAUCCUGUGCAAGAAAUAGCUAUAGAUUGACUCGGCCGGGCAGCAGUACACUAGUUUAUCAAAUUUCAACGUCCAAUCUUCUGGGAAAAGAAGAUUCAGACCAUCAUCUGCCAGAAGAAGUGCAUUCAUCAUCUAAUACAACAGGACAGUAACUCCUGAGCUAUG